GACGAACGCUGGCGGCGUGCUUAACACAUGCAAGUGGAGCGACGAACCGGGCUUCGGCCCGGGGCAAAGCCGCGAACGGGUAAGUAACACGUGGGUAACCUGCCCCAAAGACCGGGACAACCCGAGGAAACUCGGGCUAAUACCGGAUGUGUUCACUGUCCACAAGGACAGUGAGGAAAGGAAGCUUCGGCCUCCGCUUUGGGAUGGGCCCGCGGCCCAUUAGGUUGUUGGUGCGGGAACGGCUCACCAAGGCUGCGAUGGGUAGCUGGUCUGAGAAGACGAUCAGCCACACUGGGACUGAGACACGGCCCAGGCUCCUACGGGAGGCAGCAGUGGGGAAUCUUGCGCAAUGCGCGACAGCGUGACGCAGCAACGCCGCGUGGGGGAAGAAGGCCUUCGGGUUGUAAACCUCUUUCAGGAGGGGCGAAGCUCCGGCAGCGAAUAGCUGUCCGGAGUGACGGUACCUCCACAAGAAGCCCCGGCUAACUACGUGCCAGCAGCCGCAGUAA
rnacentral:rRNA from 1 species